AGCCCAAAUGACUUCAGGAUUUUUAUACUGGUCAUUAGCAACAUUUGCUUUCAAGAUAGAGAAAGGAGAAAAAGAUGUUACAGUAACAAGAGACAUCGAUGGAGGGCAUCAAGUUGUUACAUUAAAGCUUCCAGCCAUUGUUAGUGCCGAUUUAAGACUGAAUGAACCCAGAUAUGCUACUUUACCAAA